rnacentral:rRNA from 1 species
GAUGAACGCUGGCGGCGUGCCUAAUACAUGCAAGUCGAGCGAACAGACGAGGAGCUUGCUCCUCUGACGUUAGCGGCGGACGGGUGAGUAACACGUGGAUAACCUACCUAUAAGACUGGGAUAACUUCGGGAAACCGGAGCUAAUACCGGAUAAUAUAUUGAACCGCAUGGUUCAAUAGUGAAAGACGGCUUUGCCGUCUGUUAUAGAUGGAUCCGCGCCGCAUUAGCUAGUUGGUAAGGUAACGGCUUACCAAGGCAACGAUGCGUAGCCGACCUGAGAGGGUGAUCGGCCACACUGGAACUGAGACACGGUCCAGACUCCUACGGGAGGCAGCAGUAGGGAAUCUUGCGCAAUGGGCGCAAGCCUGACGGAGCAACGCCGCGUGAGUGAUGAAGGUCUUCGGAUCGUAAAGCUCUGUUAUUAGGAAAGAACAAAUGUGUAAGUAACUAUGCACGUCUUGACGGUACCUAAUCAGAAAGCCCCGGCUAACUACGUG